AUACAUGUUGAGCGCACUUUAAUGUGACUCUUUGUAUAAACCAUUACCCCCCAAACCCAGAGGUGCAUUGUGGCCCGUCAAAAGGUUAGCAGUGUAUCAGUACGUAUCUCAAAGGCAACUUUGAUUUACAUUACCCAUCAUUUACCCCCAUUUACACUUAAGAAGUUUUAAGAAUGAUAACCAUAACUAUAUAACUUUCAGCAAUGGAUCUCUAGGCUCUCACGUCGAUGAAGAACACAGUGAAAUGUGAUACGUAAUGUGAAUUGCAGAAUUCAGUGAAUCAUCGAAUCUUUGAACGCACCUUGCACCUUUUGGUUAUUCCGAAAGGUACGCCUGUUUGAAUGUCACGAAACCCCCCUCGGCCCUCAUUCUUUCUAAAAGCAUGGGGGACGGAUUCUGAGUGUUGGCGUGUCAACGCCUCGCUUCAAAUAGAUUAGCACUUUUGGAUGGUAUACUAUUAGUUCAAAAGACGUACUUGAUGUUGUAUUUAUAUUUCAUUGAGGCAGUCUUUGGUCGCUCCGACUAUCCGCUAAUAGGGCAACUUGAAGAAUAGCUUCCUAACCCUAUCAACUUAAUUAAGUAAUUAAUUAAUCUUUAGACUUCAAAUCAGGUGGGACUACCCGCUGAAC
rnacentral:rRNA from 1 species